AGCGUACACGGUGGAUGCCCUGGCAGUCAGAGGCGAUGAAGGACGUGCUAAUCUGCGAUAAGCGUCGGUAAGGUGAUAUGAACCGUUAUAACCGGCGAUUUCCGAAUGGGGAAACCCAGUGUGUUUCGACACACUAUCAUUAACUGAAUCCAUAGGUUAAUGAGGCGAACCGGGGGAACUGAAACAUCUAAGUACCCCGAGGAAAAGAAAUCAACCGAGAUUCCCCCAGUAGCGGCGAGCGAACGGGGAGCAGCCCAGAGCCUGAAUCAGUGUGUGUGUUAGUGGAAGCGUCUGGAAAGGCGCGCGAUACAGGGUGACAGCCCCGUACACAAAAAUGCACAUGCUGUGAGCUCGAUGAGUAGGGCGGGACACGUGGUAUCCUGUCUGAAUAUGGGGGGACCAUCCUCCAAGGCUAAAUACUCCUGACUGACCGAUAGUGAACCAGUACCGUGAGGGAAAGGCGAAAAGAACCCCGGCGAGGGGAGUGAAAAAGAACCUGAAACCGUGUACGUACAAGCAGUGGGAGCACGCUUCGGCGUGUGACUGCGUACCUUUUGUAUAAUGGGUCAGCGACUUAUAUUCUGUAGCAAGGUUAACCGAAUAGGGGAGCCGAAGGGAAACCGAGUCUUAACUGGGCGUUAAGUUGCAGGGUAUAGACCCGAAACCCGGUGAUCUAGCCAUGGGCAGGUUGAAGGUUGGGUAACACUAACUGGAGGACCGAACCGACUAAUGUUGAAAAAUUAGCGGAUGACUUGUGGCUGGGGGUGAAAGGCCAAUCAAACCGGGAGAUAGCUGGUUCUCCCCGAAAGCUAUUUAGGUAGCGCCUCGUGAAUUCAUCUCCGGGGGUAGAGCACUGUUUCGGCAAGGGGGUCAUCCCGACUUACCAACCCGAUGCAAACUGCGAAUACCGGAGAAUGUUAUCACGGGAGACACACGGCGGGUGCUAACGUCCGUCGUGAAGAGGGAAACAACCCAGACCGCCAGCUAAGGUCCCAAAGUCAUGGUUAAGUGGGAAACGAUGUGGGAAGGCCCAGACAGCCAGGAUGUUGGCUUAGAAGCAGCCAUCAUUUAAAGAAAGCGUAAUAGCUCACUGGUCGAGUCGGCCUGCGCGGAAGAUGUAACGGGGCUAAACCAUGCACCGAAGCUGCGGCAGCGACGCUGAUGCGUUGUUGGGUAGGGGAGCGUUCUGUAAGCCUGUGAAGGUGUGCUGUGAGGCAUGCUGGAGGUAUCAGAAGUGCGAAUGCUGACAUAAGUAACGAUAAAGCGGGUGAAAAGCCCGCUCGCCGGAAGACCAAGGGUUCCUGUCCAACGUUAAUCGGGGCAGGGUGAGUCGACCCCUAAGGCGAGGCCGAAAGGCGUAGUCGAUGGGAAACAGGUUAAUAUUCCUGUACUUGGUGUUACUGCGAAGGGGGGACGGAGAAGGCUAUGUUGGCCGGGCGACGGUUGUCCCGGUUUAAGCGUGUAGGCUGGUUUUCCAGGCAAAUCCGGAAAAUCAAGGCUGAGGCGUGAUGACGAGGCACUACGGUGCUGAAGCAACAAAUGCCCUGCUUCCAGGAAAAGCCUCUAAGCAUCAGGUAACAUCAAAUCGUACCCCAAACCGACACAGGUGGUCAGGUAGAGAAUACCAAGGCGCUUGAGAGAACUCGGGUGAAGGAACUAGGCAAAAUGGUGCCGUAACUUCGGGAGAAGGCACGCUGAUAUGUAGGUGAAGCGACUUGCUCGUGGAGCUGAAAUCAGUCGAAGAUACCAGCUGGCUGCAACUGUUUAUUAAAAACACAGCACUGUGCAAACACGAAAGUGGACGUAUACGGUGUGACGCCUGCCCGGUGCCGGAAGGUUAAUUGAUGGGGUUAGCGCAAGCGAAGCUCUUGAUCGAAGCCCCGGUAAACGGCGGCCGUAACUAUAACGGUCCUAAGGUAGCGAAAUUCCUUGUCGGGUAAGUUCCGACCUGCACGAAUGGCGUAAUGAUGGCCAGGCUGUCUCCACCCGAGACUCAGUGAAAUUGAACUCGCUGUGAAGAUGCAGUGUACCCGCGGCAAGACGGAAAGACCCCGUGAACCUUUACUAUAGCUUGACACUGAACAUUGAGCCUUGAUGUGUAGGAUAGGUGGGAGGCUUUGAAGUGUGGACGCCAGUCUGCAUGGAGCCGACCUUGAAAUACCACCCUUUAAUGUUUGAUGUUCUAACGUUGACCCGUAAUCCGGGUUGCGGACAGUGUCUGGUGGGUAGUUUGACUGGGGCGGUCUCCUCCUAAAGAGUAACGGAGGAGCACGAAGGUUGGCUAAUCCUGGUCGGACAUCAGGAGGUUAGUGCAAUGGCAUAAGCCAGCUUGACUGCGAGCGUGACGGCGCGAGCAGGUGCGAAAGCAGGUCAUAGUGAUCCGGUGGUUCUGAAUGGAAGGGCCAUCGCUCAACGGAUAAAAGGUACUCCGGGGAUAACAGGCUGAUACCGCCCAAGAGUUCAUAUCGACGGCGGUGUUUGGCACCUCGAUGUCGGCUCAUCACAUCCUGGGGCUGAAGUAGGUCCCAAGGGUAUGGCUGUUCGCCAUUUAAAGUGGUACGCGAGCUGGGUUUAGAACGUCGUGAGACAGUUCGGUCCCUAUCUGCCGUGGGCGCUGGAGAACUGAGGGGGGCUGCUCCUAGUACGAGAGGACCGGAGUGGACGCAUCACUGGUGUUCGGGUUGUCAUGCCAAUGGCACUGCCCGGUAGCUAAAUGCGGAAGAGAUAAGUGCUGAAAGCAUCUAAGCACGAAACUUGCCCCGAGAUGAGUUCU
rnacentral:rRNA from 1 species